rnacentral:rRNA from 2 species
ACUUUUAAUAAUAGAUCUCUUAGUUCUAGUAUUAAUAAAGAACGCAGCGAAAUGUAAUAAGUAGUGUAAAUUGUAGAAUUUAGUAAAUUAUUAAAUCUUUAAACGCAUAUUGCGCCCCUUAGUAUUCUAUAGGGCAUGCCUGUUUAAGCGUUAUUUGUACCCUUAAGCUCUGCUUAGUAUUAGGUGUUUGUUCUACUUAGGACUCACCUUAAAACAAUUAGUAGCUAGCACAUUAGCCUAGAGCGCAGCAUAUUUUGCGCCUCUUGUUAUAGUUGUUAGCAUCUAUUAAGACACUUUUUAAGCUCUUAACCUUAGAUUAGGUAGGGAUACCUGCUAAACUUAAGCAUAUUAAUAAGCGGAGGAAAAGAAACUAAUAGGGAUUGCCCUAGUAAUAGCAAGUAAAGCAGCAAUAGCUUAAAUUUAAAAUCUGGCUCUUUUAGGGUCUAAGUUGUAAUUUGCAGAGGGCGCUUUAGCGUUAGUAGUAGUCUAAGUUUCUUAGAAUAGGACGUUAUAGAGGGUAAGAAUCCUAUACGUAGUUGCUAGCCUUUGCUGUGUAAAGCCCCUUUAAUAAGUUAAGUUGUUUAGGAAUAUAGCUCUAAAUAGGAGGUAAAUUUCUUCUAAAGCUAAAUACUAGCUAGAGACUAAUAGCGCAUAAGUAGAGUAAUUAAAAGAUAAAAAGCACUUUGGAAAGAGAGUUAAAUAGCACGUGAAAUUGUUAAAAGGGAAGCGCUUGCAGCUAGACUUGCCUAUAGUUGCUUAUCUAGGCUUUUAUCUAGUGCACUCUUCUAUAGGCAGGCUAGCAUUAGUUUAGGCAGUUAGAUAAAGGUCUCUGUUACGUACCUCCCUUUAGGGAGGCCUUAUAGGGGAGACGACAUGCAACUAGCCUAGACUAAGGUCCGCGUAUCUGCUAGGAUGCUAGCGUAAUAGCUGUAAGCGGCCUGUCUUAAAAUAUAGACUAAGGAGUCUAAUAUCUAUGCAAGUGUUUAGGUAUUAAGCCUAGACGCGUAAUAAAAGUGAAUAGAGGUGGGAACCCUUUUAGGGUGCACCAUUAACUAAUCCUAAUAUCUUUAGAAGGAUUUAAGUAAGAGCAUAGCUAUUAGGACCUAAAAGAUAGUAAACUAUGCUUAAAUAGGGUAAAGCCAGAGGAAACUCUAGUAGAGGCUCGCAGCGGUUCUAACGUGCAAAUUAAUUGUUAAAUUUAGGCAUAGGGGCGAAAGACUAAUUAAACUAUCUAGUAGCUAGUUCCUACUAAAGUUUCCCUUAGGAUAGUAGUAACGUAUUUAGUUUUAUAAGGUAAAGCGAAUAAUUAGAGGCCUAGGGGUUAAAACAACCUUUACCUAUUCUUAAACUUUAAAUAUGUAAGAAGUCCUUAUUACUUAAUUAAACGUAGACACUUAAAUAUACUAUUACUAGUAGGCCAUUUUUAGUAAGUAGAACUAGCAAUGCAGGAUAAACUAAACGCAGGGUUAAGGUGCUAGAAUGCACGCUUAUUAGACACCACAAAAGGUGUUAGUUUAUCUAGACAGCAGGACGGUGGCUAUAGAAGUUAGAAUCCACUAAGGAGUAUAUAACAACUUACCUGCUAAAUAAACUAGCCCUAAAAAUGGAUGGCGCUUAAGCGUGUUACCUAUACCCCGCCGCUAGGGCAAGAUUUAAGCCCUAGCAAGUAGGCAGGCGUAGAGGCUCGUGACAAAGCCUUAGGGGUAACCCUAGGUAGAAUAGCCUCUAGUGUAGAUCUUAGUAGUAGUAGCAAAUACUUAAAUAAGAACUUUAAGGACUAAAGUAGGGAAAGGUUCUGUAUAAAUAGCAGUUAGACACAGGUUAGUUAAUCCUAAGAGAUAGGGUAAUUCUAUUUUAAUGUUGGCGCUUACGCCGCGCCCUUAAAAGGGAAGCUAGUUAAUAUUCUAGCACCUAGAUGUAGAUUCUCUGUAGCAACGUAACUAAGAGCAGAGACCUUAGCAGGAGCCCUAAGAAGAGUUCUCUUUUCUUCUUAAUAGUCUGUUACCCUAAAAUUAGUUUGUCUAGAGCUAGGGUUUAAUAGCUAGAAGAGCGCUGCCCUUUUAUAGUAUUUAGUGCGCUCCUAACAAGCCUUAAAAAUCUACUUAAAGAAAUAGUUUUUACGCUAGGUUAUACUUAUAACUACAGUAGGUCUCUAAGGUAAAAAGCCUCUAGUUAAUAGAAUAAUAUAGAUAAGGGAAGUUAGCAAAAUAGAUCUAUAACUUUAGGAAAAGGAUUAGCUCUAAGGGUUAGGUACGUUAGGCCUUAGGGAGAAGCCUCUAGCGUAGAAGGGCACUAACUGCAAGGUAGGCGCCUCUUAGCGCUAGGGUGCAGACACCCUUAGUAGGUUUUGGCUAUCUAGCGUACGUUUAACAACUAACUUAGAACUAGUAUAGAUAAGGGGAAUCUAACUGUCUAAUUAAAAUAUAGCAUUAUAAUAGCUAGAAAGUAGUGUUAAUAUAAUAUGAUUUCUGCCUAGUGCUCUAAAUAUUAAAGUAAAGAGAUUUAACCAAGCGCGGGUAAAUAGCAGGAGUAACUAUAACUCUCUUAAGGUAGCUAAAUACCUUGUUAUCUAAUUAGUAACGCGCAUAAAUAGAUUAACAAGAUUCCUACUAUCCCUAUCUACUAUCUAGCAAAACCACAGCUAAGGGAACAGGCUUAGCUAAAUUAGCAGGGAAAGAAGACCCUAUUAAGCUUAACUCUAGUUUAAUAUUGUAAAAAGAUAUAGGGGGUGUAGAAUAGGUAGGAGCUUUAGCGCUAGUAAAAUACUACUACCCUUAUUGUUUUUUUACUUAUUUAAUAAAGCAGAGCUAGGCCUUACUACCUAACUUCUAGCGUUUAAGGUCCUUUAUAGGCUAAUCUAGGUUAAAGAUAUUGUUAGGUAGGGAGUUUAGCUAGGGCAGCACAUCUGUUAAACUAUAACGCAGGUGUCCUAAGGGGGACUUAUAGAGAAUAGAAAUCUCUAGUAGAGUAAAAGGGUAAAAGUCCCCUUAAUUUUGAUUUUUAGUGUGAAUACAAACUAUAAAAGUGUAGCCUAUUAAUCCUUUAGUCCCUUAAAAUUUAAGGCUAGAGGUGCUAGAAAAGUUACUACAGGGAUAACUAGCUUGUGGCAGCUAAGCGUUCAUAGCGACGUUGCUUUUUAAUCCUUUGAUAUUAGCUCUUCCUAUUAUACUAAAGCAGAAUUUAGUAAGCGUUAGAUUGUUUACCUACUAAUAGGGAACGUAAGCUAGGUUUAGACUGUUGUAAGACAGGUUAGUUUUACCCUACUAAUAACCUUGCCCUAAUAGUAAUACCGCUUAGUACGAGAGGAACCGCGGUUUUAGAUAAUUAGUUUUUGCGGCUAUCUAACUAGGUAUUGCUGUGAAGCUACUAUCUACUAGAUUAUAGCUAAACGCCUCUAAGUUAGAAUCUAUGCUAGAAUAGGGUAAUUUCCGCCUGCACUAGUUAGAUACAAAUAGGCCUUUAGCCUAGAACCUUACUAGAUCAGCGUUAGCAGCCCUAUUAAAGUUAGGGUUGUUAGCUAGUGUAUUAUAAUUGUAUAGUGCGCAGGAUUAAAUCCUUUAUAGAUAACUUAGUUAUCUAGCUAGGUCGUGUAAGUAGUUAAGUAGCCUUGUUGUUACGAGCUACUAAGCGUAAGCCUGUUACUAGCUUAGUUGAAAUUAGGAUAUUAU